GUCGGAGUCUCUUCUAAUUCUUUCCUACACUGACCGCAGAGUGGCUGAGACGUGGGUGAGCCCAGGAGACAGUGGAGAUGAAGCAGGAGCAGGGGCGGAGGCGCCGGAGCUCGUGGGGGCCCAGCGCGGGCAUGAGGCCCCCGGAGGGAGCAGCUGCCCCAUGGGGUCUGCAGCCCCGACCCUCCUCCUACCACGGCCGCCUCUGCUCUUCUGGCUCCGGCGCUGCUCCGUCAUCACCUAACACCCGUCGCAGCAAACCGCGGCACCGAACGGCAUGUCCCUCCACGUCGAAGCAAAUGGUGGGUAUUUGGACGAUGCCCUUCCUAUGGCUGCAGUUGGAGGAGCUUCUCCUGUGUUUGCAUAAAGAGUGCAAAAAUGACAUCUUCUGCACAAAGGCUUCUUGUUUCUCCCUGGAGGACGUCUCUCUGGGGCACGAACUGUUGGAUGGGGGAGCAUGGAUUCUUGGGGCGGACUCACGAUAUAUCAUAAGAGAUCUCACUUUGCUGCUUAUUUUAUUGUUUCUGGUAUCAUGUGGUUAAUAAUUCCCACCAGUAAAAAAUAAUAAUAAUAAAAUUUAAAAAUAAAUAAAUAAAUAAACA
rnacentral:lncRNA from 1 species